rnacentral:rRNA from 1 species
UAGAGGUUUGAUCCUCGGCGUCAGGAUGAACGGCUGGCGGCGUGGCUUAACACAUAGCAAGUCGAACGAAGCAUGGAAGACGGAAUUUUCGGUAAGGAAGUCUUCUAUGACUGAGUGGCGGACGGGUGAGUAACGCGUGGGUAACCUGCCUCAUACAGGGGGAUAACAGUUAGAAAUGACUGCUAAUACCGCAUAAGACCACAGUGCCGCAUGGCACAGGGGGCCAAAGCCUUGACGGUAUGAGAUGGACCCGCGUCUGAUUAGGUAGUUGGUGGGGUAACGGCCUACCAAGCCGACGAUCAGUAGCCGACCUGAGAGGAUGACCGGCCACAUUGGGACUGAGACACGGCCCAAACUCCUACGGGAGGCAGCAGUGGGGAAUAUUGCACAAUGGGGGAAACCCUGAUGCAGCGACGCCGCGUGAGUGAAGAAGUAUUUCGGUAUGUAAAGCUCUAUCAGCAGGGAAGAAAAUGACGGUACCUGACUAAGAAGCCCCGGCUAACUACGUG